UUAAGUGACUAAGCGUACACGGUGGAUGCCUGGGCAGUCAGAGGCGAUGAAGGACGUACUAACUUGCGAUAAGCGCAGAUAAGGCAGUAAGAGCCGUUUGAGUCUGCGAUUUCCGAAUGGGGAAACCCAACUGCAUAAGCAGUUACUGUUAACUGAAUACAUAGGUUAACAGAGCAAACCGGGGGAACUGAAACAUCUAAGUACCCCGAGGAGAAGAAAUCAACCGAGAUUCCGGUAGUAGCGGCGAGCGAACCUGGAUUAGCCCUUAAGCACUCGGUGAAGUAGGUGAACAAGCUGGAAAGCUUGGCGAUACAGGGUGAUAGCCCCGUAACCGACGCUUCAUCGAGCGUGAAAUCGAGUAGGGCGGGACACGUGAUAUCCUGUCUGAAUAUGGGGGGACCAUCCUCCAAGGCUAAAUACUCCUGACUGACCGAUAGUGAACCAGUACCGUGAGGAAAGGCGAAAAGAACCCCUGUGAGGGGAGUGAAAUAGAACCUGAAACCGUGUACGUACAAGCAGUAGGAGCACCUUCGUGGUGUGACUGCGUACCUUUUGUAUAAUGGGUCAGCGACUUAUAUUCAGUGGCAAGGUUAACCGUAUAGGGGAGCCGUAGCGAAAGCGAGUCUUAACUGGGCGCUCAGUCUCUGGAUAUAGACCCGAAACCGGGUGAUCUAGCCAUGGGCAGGUUGAAGGUUGAGUAACAUCAACUGGAGGACCGAACCGACUAAUGUUGAAAAAUUAGCGGAUGACUUGUGGCUAGGGGUGAAAGGCCAAUCAAACUCGGAGAUAGCUGGUUCUCCCCGAAAGCUAUUUAGGUAGCGCCUCGGACGAAUACUACUGGGGGUAGAGCACUGUUAAGGCUAGGGGGUCAUCCCGACUUACCAACCCUUUGCAAACUCCGAAUACCAGUAAGUACUAUCCGGGAGACACACGGCGGGUGCUAACGUCCGUCGUGGAGAGGGAAACAACCCAGACCGCCAGCUAAGGUCCCAAAGUAUUGCUAAGUGGGAAACGAUGUGGGAAGGCUCAGACAGCUAGGAUGUUGGCUUAGAAGCAGCCAUCAUUUAAAGAAAGCGUAAUAGCUCACUAGUCGAGUCGGCCUGCGCGGAAGAUGUAACGGGGCUAAGCAAUACACCGAAGCUGCGGCAAUAUCUUUUAGAUAUUGGGUAGGGGAGCGUUCUGUAAGCCGUUGAAGGUGAAUCGUAAGGUUUGCUGGAGGUAUCAGAAGUGCGAAUGCUGACAUGAGUAACGACAAAGGGGGUGAAAAACCUCCUCGCCGGAAGACCAAGGGUUCCUGUCCAACGUUAAUCGGGGCAGGGUGAGUCGACCCCUAAGGUGAGGCCGAAAGGCGUAAUCGAUGGGAAACGGGUUAAUAUUCCCGUACUUCUGACUAUUGCGAUGGGGGGACGGAGAAGGCUAGGUGGGCCAGGCGACGGUUGUCCUGGUUCAAGUGCGUAGGCUUGAGAGUUAGGUAAAUCCGGCUCUCUCUAAGGCUGAGACACGACGUCGAGCUACUACGGUAGUGAAGUCAUUGAUGCCAUGCUUCCAGGAAAAGCCUCUAAGCUUCAGAUAGUCAGGAAUCGUACCCCAAACCGACACAGGUGGUCGGGUAGAGAAUACCAAGGCGCUUGAGAGAACUCGGGUGAAGGAACUAGGCAAAAUGGUACCGUAACUUCGGGAGAAGGUACGCUCUUGAUGGUGAAGUCCCUCGCGGAUGGAGCUGACGAGAGUCGCAGAUACCAGGUGGCUGCAACUGUUUAUUAAAAACACAGCACUGUGCAAAAUCGCAAGAUGACGUAUACGGUGUGACGCCUGCCCGGUGCCGGAAGGUUAAUUGAUGGGGUUAGCGCAAGCGAAGCUCUUGAUCGAAGCCCCGGUAAACGGCGGCCGUAACUAUAACGGUCCUAAGGUAGCGAAAUUCCUUGUCGGGUAAGUUCCGACCUGCACGAAUGGCGUAAUGAUGGCCACGCUGUCUCCACCCGAGACUCAGUGAAAUUGAAAUCGCUGUGAAGAUGCAGUGUACCCGCGGCUAGACGGAAAGACCCCGUGAACCUUUACUACAGCUUGGCACUGAACAUUGAACCUACAUGUGUAGGAUAGGUGGGAGGCUAUGAAGACGUGACGCCAGUUGCGUUGGAGCCGUCCUUGAAAUACCACCCUUGUAUGUUUGAUGUUCUAACUUAGACCCGUUAUCCGGGUUGAGGACAGUGCCUGGUGGGUAGUUUGACUGGGGCGGUCUCCUCCCAAAGAGUAACGGAGGAGCACGAAGGUGGGCUAAUCACGGUUGGACAUCGUGAGGUUAGUGCAAUGGCAUAAGCCCGCUUAACUGCGAGAAUGACGGUUCGAGCAGGUGCGAAAGCAGGUCAUAGUGAUCCGGUGGUUCUGUAUGGAAGGGCCAUCGCUCAACGGAUAAAAGGUACUCCGGGGAUAACAGGCUGAUACCGCCCAAGAGUUCAUAUCGACGGCGGUGUUUGGCACCUCGAUGUCGGCUCAUCACAUCCUGGGGCUGAAGUCGGUCCCAAGGGUAUGGCUGUUCGCCAUUUAAAGUGGUACGCGAGCUGGGUUUAGAACGUCGUGAGACAGUUCGGUCCCUAUCUGCCGUGGGCGUUGGAAGAUUGAAGGGGGCUGCUCCUAGUACGAGAGGACCGGAGUGGACGAACCUCUGGUGUUCGGGUUGUGUCGCCAGACGCAUUGCCCGGUAGCUAAGUUCGGAAUUGAUAAGCGCUGAAAGCAUCUAAGCGCGAAGCGAGCCCUGAGAUGAGUCUUCCCUGACAGUUUAACUGUCCUAAAGGGUUGUUCGAGACUAGAACGUUGAUAGGCAGGGUGUGUAAGCGUUGUGAGGCGUUGAGCUAACCUGUACUAAUUGCCCGUGAGGCUUAACCAU
rnacentral:rRNA from 1 species